CAGGGAUAAGGAUCAGAGGUGAAACAGCAAAAGAUGAGGAAAGGGGAUGAGGUGGGACAUGACUGGAAAUAGUAGAACCAGCCCUUCCUACAAGCUGACCCCUUUAGGUCACCAGGUAGAGACCCAAGAUUCCUGUGGCUUCUCUAGAACUAGACCCUGCUGUCCCCUUGAGAGACUCUACAGCCUCAGCUCACUUUGUCUCCUUAAGAUGAAGGGGGUAGAAGGUAUGAUUUUCUGAGGUGCAGGAACCAAAUGGGGCAAUGGGAUGAAAGGUCUUCUAAGUCACGGAGCCCCAUGUACAGUGAGCCUGUCACCCCUGACCCCGUUUCUCACAUGUAAUUGUUGGUCUGCAGUAUUCAAUGGGCUCUCCUCUGUGGCAAACGCACUGAAGGGGCCAGGGGCACCCGAGGUGCCCAAAAGCAGAGACCUGAGACCUGCCCAUCACCAGGAGGGUUUGAUUGCUGCUCUCCCUGGACAAAAGGCAGUGCCCCUGCUCAGGGCCCAGUUGUGUAGGAGACGAGGGCAGCGUCCCCCUUGAAGAGGAGGUUCCCUGAGGACACAGCAGGCUGAGCAAGAGAUCUUGGGACAUAGUCUGGGUCUGUCAGCAACUACUGCGAUUCUCACCCCAGCCUCUCAGCUCUAGGGAGGACUCUGGCACGAUUUACCUUCUAAAGAAAUAAGAAGGAAAACACCGCCUUCUCCUCAUAAACAUACUGACUUUCUGCACCUUCCCGCAGGCUUCCAUUCCUGGCCCCGGGAAACUUUUCCUGAAGCCCAGCUCCAGGACUCAGGCCUUGGAGUGAAGGCCCCUGUCGUUAACGGACAGGAGCCUGGCAUAGCCUGUGGAGGGAAGGACGGCCUUGCUGAGACCCUGCUCGCCUCAGUGACAACCCUCAUCAGCUCCUCCACUCGAAAAAUUGCUCUUUCAUUUUUUUUUAAGAGCGAAGGGUGGGAGAGAAGUGAGCAGGAUACUUGCAAAGUGCCACACUGCCGCUUGCUGACCAAAGAAACAAUGCCACCAAUCACACAAGAAAAGCGUCUUACCUGGAAGAUUUUUGCGGAGAGCCUGGGAGUAUGCUACCAAAAUUGAUUAGGACUAUGGAAAGAACACAGAAAAUCACACAAUAAAUGCAAAGGCCCCAGUAAGGCCACUUUCAUAGUCAAACGCUCAGAAUUACAGCAACACCAUGAGGAAGUGCUAGCACCCAAAAAGGAAACUCUUGAAGAUGGGGCUACACACUGAUUGGCCACUUCUGGAUGUGCACAGAGGGUCCUACUGAGAUCCCUGCCAGUCUUCCAUUGGGCACACACUAGAGGUUUUCUUGCAGUUUUGGCAUCUUAGGCCGAUGGACCAGACCAGUGAUUUCCAGUUCCUGUGGUCCAACUGCCACAGCCACACAUGCAGGACCCUUUCCAAUUCCCUCCCUAUCACCUGCCUGAUACCCCUGGCCCCAGCCAUGAAAGAACUCAUACUAUGACACAGGCCCCAUCCUCCUCUCAGCCCUCAUUCCUCUGAACCCUCCUGGUAACCUCAAGGUCCAGGAGCCUGACCUGGUCAUCCCAGACACUAUAGGUGCUCAAGGAGGUUUUACUUCUUCCCAUGUUGUGUCCACCUACCCAUAGUCAUGCCCUGGGCAUCAGGAAACCCAGCGCUGCUCAUUGAUGUCCUUUCUUAGCAUUCCCUCUCUGAUCGCCUCCAACACCCUGUCCCUUCUUCUAAUGCUGCUGCUUAGAAACCCUUCAACCUCUAGGGGCCUCUAGUGGGGACCCCACAGCGCUCCUCACCAUCCACCAGGCCCCACCCUACCCAGCCUACCCUGGCUUAUAAACUCUGCUUCUAACAUUCCUCUCUAGCUCCUUUCUCCCUCUUCCACACUCUUCUACUGUUCCCCAGUAAGAGACACACCCCUGCCUGUAUUUGAGCACCUAAACACUGAUGCCAAAAAUUUAAGCCUUACUGAAUUGUUUAUCUUAAAACCCAUCACCAGGAGACCAUUGCUUCUCUCUGUCACCUUCAUUCUACCUACAUUACUACUUUACUCACUAGCAACCCUCUUCCAUUCCAAUGGAGAGGACAAUGAGCUGUGACAGCUCAGAGCUUCCCACACCAAUAGACCUGUUUUUGUCCUGACAUUUUCUGCUGCUCUUGGGCAUAUCUGCUUUUGACUGCAGCCAGCCAUCACCUGCGCUCAGGAUCCCAUGACUUCCAUCUGUUCAGGGGCUUCACUCUUGCACUUAGCAUCACUCCUCUCUCCUGAACUGUCACUGAGGAGGAAUGGAGAGGUAACAGAAAGGGAAAUCUACUCGCAUUUACAGUUUCUACAAGCUUGACUUCCAAGGAAUCAAGACAUGGGUAUUAGAAGCAGAGGGCUGUUUGCUUUUCACUAUGUUUUUUACUGUCCCCCAAACAAGACAGAACACCCGAAGAUGCAGGCACCAGAAAUCCCUAAGGCAUGAGCCUCAGAGGAGAUGCUUUAAGUUGAGGAGGGAGGAACAGGGUUUUCAAGCAGCACAGGAUCUGCAGGAAGACCCCCAUCCUCACUCCUACACCCAUUCUUACCUCUGUGACCCAGGGAGCAACAGGUUGAGAGACAUAAUAUCACCCAAGCAAAAGGCCUCAGUAGGUGAUAUCGGGGGAGAGAUAAAGAUUGAAUGAACUAACUGAAGAGGAUAAUCCAGGUAGAAGAAUUGGGAAGAUUUGGAAAAAGAAGCAUAAGAAGGAGGAUGAGUUAUACUGGUAGAUCAGACAGCAGUCCUAAGAUGAAGGCAGGGGAUGCAAGGAGCCUGGGCUUGGAGUGACGGCAGGAGCUGGAGACAUGAGCAUUUGACUCGCCCCGAGAUUCAUACAAAAUAUCUUCUGCAAAGACAUUUCUUGUUUCAGGGCCACAGAAGCCCAAGAAGCUAUGAGAAGCUAGAAGAGCUUUGUCUUCUCUGCGUCCUGGACUUGGAUGGAUUUAAAGCACCUGUCAAUCUAAGCCCUAUUGAUGAGACUGGCCUCGAUCACUCCUAUCUGGUGGUGAUGAGGCUGUGCUCUGGGGUCCCUCAGAGGAGGAACAGAGGGCCGGGCCAUAGAAAAGAACUCCCUUGUGAUUCUGGCCCCUGCAAAGGUGGGGUAUCCAUCUAGUCCCAGGUCACCACAAAAGUCCUGGUGGAUUGUUAGAAGUGCAGGGAGAAACAUGACUCGAGUCUUUCAAUAUCUUACCCGAGGGCCACAGAUCUCAGGUCACCGUGAAAUAACUGGGGGCAUAUGCUCUCCAGAGCAGGAACAGGGUCCAGUAUACAAGAGAUUUCUGCCAUAGCUACAGGCAGGCACUAUAAGAACUCAAGGUCUUUGUAGGGCAAUCUCUGUCUGUCUAAAGCUCAUUACCCCUGUUUCCGAGGAUAAGGAUCAGAGGUGAGACAGCAAAAGAUGAAGAAAGGGGAUGAGGUGGGACAUGACUGGAAAUAGUAGAACCAGCCCUUCCUACAAGCUGACCCCUUUAGGUCACCAGGUUGAGACCCAAGAUUCCUGUGGCUUCUCUGGGACUAGACCCUGCUGUCCCCUUGAGAGACUCUACAGCCUCAGCUCACUUUGUCUCCUUAAGAUGAAGGGGGUAGAAGGUAUGAUUUUCUGAGGUGCAGGAACCAAAUGGGGCAAUGGGAUGAAAGGUCUUCUAAGUCACGGAGCCCCAUGUACAGUGAGCCUGUCACCCCUGACCCCGUUUCUCACAUGUAAUUGUUGGGUCUGCAGUAUUCAAUGGGCUCUCCUCUGUGGCAAACGCACUGAAGGGGCCAGGGGCACCCGAGGUGCCCAGAAGUGGACACCUGAGACCUGCCCAUCACCAGGAGGGUUUGAUUGCUGCUCUCCCUGGACAAAAGGCAGUGCCCCUGCUCAGGGCCCAGUUGUGUAGGAGACGAGGGCAGCGUCCCCCUUGAAGAGGAGGUUCCCUGAGGACACAGCAGGCUGAGCAAGAGAUCUUGGGACAUACUCUGGGUCUGUCAGCAACUACUGCGAUUCUCACCCCAGCCUCUCAGCUCUAGGGAGGACUCUGGCACGAUUUACCUUCUAAAGAAAUAAGAAGGAAAACACCGCCUUCUCCUCAUAAACAUACUGACUUUCUGCACCUUCCCGCAGGCUUCCAUUCCUGGCCCCGGAAACCUUUUCCUGAAGCCCAGCUCCAGAACUCAGGCCUUGGAGUGAAGGCCCGUGUCAUUUAACGGACAGGAGCCUGGCAUGGCCUGUGGAGGGAAGGACGGCCUUGCUGAGACCCUGCUCGCCUCAGUGACAGCCCUCAUCAGCUCCUCCACUCGGAAAACUCCUGAUCAGGGGCAUCCAAUCACAUUAAACAAGACCUGAGGCACUGUCCUGUCUGAAUAGAUCAUCCAAGCUAUGAAAAUCAACCAAGAAACAGAUUGCUUCAACUCACCAAGAGAGCCUUCUUGACACAAUUCCCGAAACUUUUACAUCCCUGUGCUUUGCUAUCAGAAAUAAAAUUAGCUUAUGUUGAAAGGA